UACGUAGGGUGCAAGCGUUGUCCGGAAUUAUUGGGCGUAAAGAGCUCGUAGGCGGUUUGUCGCGUCUGCCGUGAAAGUCCGGGGCUCAACUCCGGAUCUGCGGUGGGUACGGGCAGACUAGAGUGAUGUAGGGGAGACUGGAAUUCCUGGUGUAGCGGUGAAAUGCGCAGAUAUCAGGAGGAACACCGAUGGCGAAGGCAGGUCUCGUGGGCAUUAACUGACGCUGAGGAGCGAAAAGCAUGGGGAGCGAACAGG
rnacentral:rRNA from 1 species